rnacentral:lncRNA from 1 species
AAUGAGCGAUUCGUGGUUGCAAGAAAUUAUCAGAACUCCCACUAUCCAACAAUAUCUGAAUAGUCAUGCCGUUUAAUGAUCCCUGGAAUCUCAUAGUUCCCACACCAGCAGCACCCUUUAAGGCAUUAAGAGAAAGAUGGUGUUCGAGGUGUUGUUCUAAGGCCGGAAUGUCGGUAUUAGUCUGCUCCUCCUCCUUUUCAUAUUCAACUUGGAGGAAGGUAUAUUGACGAUUCGGGCA